UUAAUUGAAACCAAAAAGAGGUAAAUCACUGUUAAUGAUUAAAUUGAGUUCAUCUCCAAUUAAA
rnacentral:tRNA from 1 species